CUAGCAUCGCCCCUGUCGUUGACCCGGAAAGGAAUUUUUUUUCCCCACUCGCCCCUCUGCCGCCGCCGCUCAAGGGAUCUCCGGCCACCGGAGUCCCCGCCACCUCCGACGCAUCCAUCUUCUUCAAGUCCUACGCCGCCAGCCUGCUCUGAUUCGCCUCCGACUAAGCCGACUGGUCGCCGCAACGAUGAAGGUACGGCCAUCCCGAUAUCCCCCGGCCCUGAAAAUCUCUCCCUGCCCCAGCGCGUGCCGCCGCGGCAGUGAAUCCAUGAAUCCGCUGCGUGCUCCUCCCAGCGCCCUCUCUCUCUCUCUCUCUCUCUCUCUCUCUCUCUCUCUCUGAACCACUAGAAGCACCAGUAAUCUUUGACACUUCGGUGGAAAUUUUGCAUUGGUCUCUGUUUGCCUUCAUGCUUCAUUACACGGAAUUCAGUUCGCCUUCUCAUAUGUGACGAAUCAUCAUGCCAUUUAGAUGUGUAAAUUUACUUUUUAUUUCUGUAUUGUCAACCCGUCUCUGAAACUUAGGUACUACAAGAACGGCAAGUGAGCCCUUAAACUGUAUUUAUAGUUACAUGUAUGUCAACUACUGUAAGAGACAGGAUCAGUCUAUCUAUGUGUAUACUGUUUUUUUAGAAAUCCUCACGAGUAGUGUUUCUAAUUUCUACCUUAGAAAUUCUCAUUAUUCCCAGACCCUUGGGGAUCAUAUUCUUGUCAAUUUCUCUGACUGACAAGUACCACAUAUAUCAAUAGUCUCUUAGUUGUUUUUGGACUACCACGUAUCCUUAUAAUCAUAUAACUGUUUUUGAUUACUAAUUGUACUGUUUUUGGUUACUAACAAUAUUGUGCAUCUUUAUGUUGUGCAUAUGUUCCGGUCUUCCAAUUUUUUAUAGCCUUAAAAAGAAAGAGCAGGUUAGCAAGGAGGAGCAAAUGUCACAGCAAGGGUUAAACCAUACCAGUUAGGCUUGCGGCCCAGCCACUCUUCUCUGCCGUCUCCUCCGGCUCUCCAAAUGCACAAAGGCCGGCCAGCCUGCCGGCACCAAGCACCCAUGACCAUAUCAGCGGGUCGAGCCAAGGCUCCUCUUUUCCUCUGCUCUUCUAUAUGCUUACAAGCAAACAGGAGGAGGGAGCCUUGAUGAUGGCUGUAGGUUGUAUGACAUUUAUUGACAAGGAUAUGCUGUGGCCAAGCCAGCGACUGUAACCAGUCCAGACACACUUCCCUCGGUGAUAUGAUAUCUCUCCAAUUUAAUUUAGUUAGCUUCUUCGCUGACUCUUGUGAGUCCAAAUUCUUGUCUACUGAUUUUACCUGAAACAUGAAGCUAUUUUGCCUGCAUGUGUACAGUUUUUGAGAAUGGAUCAUAUCUUGUACUAGCUUGUUUAUUCAACGUUGCUCUGAAUUUCUCGAGUCGAGGCUUCUCUUUCUGCUCCAUGCUCCCCCAUAAACUUGAGCCACAUUGUUGGGUCAGCUAUCUCCAGGGUCCUAUCUUGAAGUGCAUCCUCAACAAACUUAUGAAGAUCCAAUGAAUCUCUGAACAUGCCUUCUGUUGGGCUCCUUCCAGUAAACAUCUCAAGUAGCAUUUGCCAAGGCUAUAAAUAUCACCAGCUGUAGAGACCGCAGAGCCUUCUCCAUACUCUGCAAUUAUGCAAAGUCUUGUGGUUAGCAUGCCUUGAUUGACCAAGGUACGCGUCUCUGAUUGUGUGCAUCUCCGUUGCUGCAUCUCUCGUCAGUGCUCGGUCUCGAGGUUGUUGCUUUGAGCAGGAUAUGCCAAGCCUGAAGACCGAGACCAAGCACUCCUGGAUUCUAAUACUUGCAGUGUUAUCAUGUUGUCCGCCGUGCAGCCACAUUGUUGGGUCAGCUAUCUCAAAGGUUCUACCUGGAAGUGCCUCCUCGACAAAUUUAUGCAAAUCCAAUGAAUCUCUGAACGUGCAUCCUCGACAUCAUCUGGAAGUGCAUUCUCUGGUGGGCUCCUUCCGGUAAACAUCUCAAGCAGCAAUAUGCCAAGACUAUAAAUAUCACCAGCUGUUGAGACUGCAGAAUACUCUGUAUUACGCAAUGGUUUGUGGUUAACAUGUCAUAUUUGAUUGAAAAGGUAAAAUAUGAAGUUAGAAGAAUUUUAGUCACCUGGAGCAAUAUAGCCUAUCCAACCUCUAAUUCCAGUUGAGCCAUAUGAAGUUUGCAUCCCCUUGCUUGUAUUUUCUUGACGGAUCCUUGAUAUGCCAAAGUCUCCAACUCGUGCGCUUAUGUCUUCAGCAAGAAGAAUCUUGCUUGGCUUAAGAUCACAAUGAAUCACCAAUGGUUGGCAGUAGUUGUGCAUAUGUUCUACUCCAUCCACAAUGCAUCCAAUGGCCAUGGCGUCAUAACCUGUGAUUUCUGUUUAUUUUAUUGACAGAUAAUUUUUCUCCUAUUGAGAAUCAGAUUUUAGACAGAUUGCCUUUGCUCUCAAAUGCGCAUUAGUUUGUACCCCAAGUUUGUUUGUGCACAUGGACGUAUGCAGGAUCAAAUCUUGUGCCAGCUUGUUUAUGCAACGCUGCUCUGAAUUUCUUGAGUCGAGGCUUCUCGUUCUGCUCCAUGCUCCCCUAUGAACUUGAGGAUAUGCCAAGCCUCAAGACUGAAACCAAUAAUUCCUGAAUUCUAAUGCUUAUAGUGUUAUUGUGUUCUCCGCUGUGCAACCACAUUGUCGGGUCAGCUAUCUCCAAGGUUCUAUCUGGAAG